GCCUGAGUGGCUCAGUUGGUUAAGCAUCUGACUUUGGCUCAGGUCAUGAUCUCACGGUUUGUGAGUUCGAGUCCCACGUUGGGUG
rnacentral:tRNA from 1 species